GCUGGGCGUGGUGGCGCACACCUGUAAUCCCAGCUACUUGGGAAGCUGAGGCAGAAGAAUCACUCGAACCCAGGAGGCGGAGAUCUAGGGAGCCAAGAUCGCACCACUGCACUCCAGCCUGGGCCACAGAGUGAGACUCUGUCUCAA
ensembl:misc_RNA Metazoa_SRP Metazoan signal recognition particle RNA